GGUUCCCCCCGGAAGCCGUUUUUCUCCGGUUUCACUCACUGGCAUAUCCUUCUCACGCGCUCCUUUCACGUUGAGGUGCUCUUCCCUAAAAAAUUCUUCCCAUCGAACAAAGUUUGAAGAGGCUGCAAAGAAGGCGAAUUUGAUUCCUCUCUAUCAGUGCAUUUUCUCCGACCACCUUACUCCGGUCGUUGCUCACCAGAUUUUGCUUGAAGACGAUGAUAGGGAGGCUCCAAGCUUUCUCUUUGAGUCUGAUGAAUUAAGUUGUGAUGUGGGGCGCUAUAGUGUUGUUGGAGCUCAUCCUGCAAUGGAGGUUCUGGCAAAAGAAAACAAGGUUGCGAUUAUUGAUCAUGUAGCUGGAACUUUAUCUGAUAAAACGGUUGAUGAUCCUAUCAUGAUUCCGAGAGAAAUCUCAGAGGGUUGGAAACCCUAUCUAAUAGAUGAACUUCCUGAUGCAUUUUGUGGUGGUUGGGCAGGUUUUUUCUCAUACGAUACAGUUCGUUAUGUGGAAAAGAAAAAACUAUCAUUUUUAAAUGCUCCAUCGAAUGAUAAGAACUUUUGGGACAUGCAUCUGGG
rnacentral:sRNA from 1 species